GAAGGUAGACAGGCUCUUUCUAAUGUCCUUCCUUCAAGUGGUGGUCACUGCCAGGCCUGCCCACAGAAAGCACCUAAGCGAACUUAAAUGGGAAACUCAGCUCUGCUUUUAUGAUGCUUCAGGAGUAAACUGAGACCAAGUUGUACUUCUUAGCCAUCCUCAAACCCAAACCAGACUCUACUGUCUAAUUUGGAUACCCAGGAAAGUUUGUAGGGCCUGAAGCAAAAGCUGCUCAAAGACUCACUCUUGGCACCCUCAGCCACUCUGUACAAAAGUCAAUCAGCCUGAUAGAGCAAGCAAAUGGAAAAGACUGAGGCCACACUGAGAAGAAGGGCCCAACUGAACAUAGCCUUCCAGACAUACCCACUAAGGCCUCAAGCAUGUUGGGAAAUCUUCCAGGCCAGACCAGCCACCCUCUGCCUAAUACUGAGUAGCCCCAGUCAAUUCAAUGUCACCUAGAGCAGAAGAAUCACCAGGCCACGUGGCUGAUUCUCAGCCACUUGCAUU